GACAAACAGGAGUCAGCUGUCUCAACCCAGACAAGGCGGAAGUGAUGCUAGAAGAAAGGAUAGAAUAUUAUAUCUUCCCUCUCUUGAGAAGAAGGACCUACAGAUCCCGUAGUGCUACAUGCUGGCCAAGAGCACGGUAACAGUCCCUGCCCCAAAGAGCUUACAAGAUGAAUAAACAGACAAAAUCCAACCCUCAACAGCCAUGGAAAGAGCCCCGAGUAUUAAUGGCAGCUGAUCAAUAACUAAUCCGUAGCGUUCCAGUUACCAACUUGAUGGAGAAAAUUCACGGCGCUUAAGUAAUUCUAACUAAUCUUAAUGAAUGCCGCCAUGCGUACAUGCCUGCAGAGCAGUGUGAAAUUUAUAGAAAAAUGUCAUUUCGGCUCUCUGUAUUUUUUUUCCUCUC